CAAACAAUUCAGUAUCGUUUCGGGCUCCAUAGGGGCAACAUCUCCUAAAAAAACUUAGUUUCGGUUAUAAAAAUAACAAAAUUUUUGUGUUAAAAAUAAAAUUUUUUUGUUGAAACGCAGAGAGAGCUUGUCGAAAAGUUCAAUAUUUUUUAAUAAAUUGUCAUCGGAUGUGCUUGUGUAUGAAUACUUGUUGUUUUGUCGCUGCACCACUAAAAUAACAGCCGGUUUCGAAGACGCGCUGAUUAGAAGAUGUUGCUCUUUUUGCGAAGUUAUCAAUGGAAUGCGGCAAAUAGGUUUUGGCUCAAUGUGUGCAUAUAGUGCCCGUUCACAUGACAAUGCAAGCUCGUUUCGGGUAAUGGGACACUGCCAUCGCGCAAGAAGUUGAGUAUGAUUCCAACAUGGUUUCCACAGCGAUCUAUUAGUAUCCCACCUUCUGAAUCAGUUAGCACCUCCAUGCGACCACUAAACAUAGCGCUUAGCAUUGUAUCAUUAUGCUUCGUCAGUGUUCCGAUUGUAGUAUAAUAUAAGCGACCACCAACAU